rnacentral:rRNA from 1 species
CCUACGGGAGGCAGCAGUGAGGAAUAUUGGUCAAUGGGCGCGAGCCUGAACCAGCCAAGUCGCGUGAGGGAUGACGGUCCUACCGAUUGUAAACCUCUUUUGCCGGGGAGCAAGCGUGCGUUCGUGAACGCGCGUCGAGAGUACCCGGAGAAAAAGCAUCGGCUAACCCCGUGCCAGCAGCCGCGGUAAUAGGGAGGAUGCGAGCGUUAUCCGGAUUUAUUGGGAUUAAAGGGUGCGUAGGCGGGAUGCCAAUUGCGCGGUAAAAAAGCGGGUCUAAAUGGCGGCGAGCCGUUGAAACUGGCGUUCUUGAGUGGGCGAGAAGUAUGCGGAAUGCGUGGUGUAGCGGUGAAAUGCAUAGAGAUCACGCAGAACUCCGAUUGCGAAGGCAGCAUACCGACGCCCUACUGACGCUGAGGCACGAAAGCGUGGGUAUCGAACAGGAUUAGAUACCCUGGUAGUC